UUGAAAUACCACCCUUUAAUGUUUGAUGUUCUAACGUGGAUCCGUAAUCCGGGUUGCGGACAGUGUCUGGUGGGUAGUUUGACUGGGGCGGUCUCCUCCUAAAGAGUAACGGAGGAGCACGAAGGUUGGCUAAUCCUGGUCGGACAUCAGGAGGUUAGUGCAAUGGCAUAAGCCAGCUUGACUGCGAGCGUGACGGCGCGAGCAGGUGCGAAAGCAGGUCAUAGUGAUCCGGUGGUUCUGAAUGGAAGGGCCAUCGCUCAACGGAUAAAAGGUACUCCGGGGAUAACAGGCUGAUACCGCCCAAGAGUUCAUAUCGACGGCGGUGUUUGGCACCUCGAUGUCGGCUCAUCACAUCCUGGGGCUGAAGUAGGUCCCAAGGGUAUGGCUGUUCGCCAUUUAAAGUGGUACGCGAGCUGGGUUUAGAACGUCGUGAGACAGUUCGGUCCCUAUCUGCCGUGGGCGCUGGAGAACUGAGGGGGGCUGCUCCUAGUACGAGAGGACCGGAGUGGACGCAUCACUGGUGUUCGGGUUGUCAUGCCAAUGGCACUGCCCGGUAGCUAAAUGCGGAAGAGAUAAGUGCUGAAAGCAUCUAAGCACGAAACUUGCCCCGAGAUGAGUUCUCCCUGAGACUUAGAGUCUCCUGAAGGAACGUUGAAGACGACGACGUUGAUAGGCCGGGUGUGUAAGCGCAGCGAUGCGUUGAGCUAACCGGUACUAAUGAACCGUGAGGCUUAACCUUACAACGCCGAAG
rnacentral:rRNA from 1 species